ACGGUAGAAGGUAAAGAGAAGCAAAAUUGAUUGAUAACAAGAAGUAAAAACAAAACGUGAACUAGAUAGUGAGUGCAUUGUAUGCUAUUAAGAGUUUAUAUCUUAAAUUUCCCUUAAGUUAUUAAACAGUAAAAUUCCUAAUUGUAACUUAUUGCUAAAAGGUGCAUGCAGGUAUAAACGAUAGAUAUUGUGAAAUAAACAGAGUACAAAGUUUCGCUGAGAUCAAGCAACUAUACGAUACUAUUACAUAUCUACUUAUACCUAAGACAAGCACAUCAAAGCUAAAACUAUUUUUAAACCGAACAGUGCCGAUCGAAAGAAUUUGCAUAGUAAAUCCACAUUUAA